rnacentral:ncRNA from 2 species
GGGUGCACUGAUAGCCAGUGCAGGGUUCAGGUGAAGGUCGGGCCGCCUUCCG